rnacentral:misc_RNA from 1 species
UCUCCGUAGGUGAACCUGCGGAGGGAUCAUUACUGAGUGAGGGCCUUCGGGCUCGACCUCCAACCCUUUGUGAAUCGUACUCGUUGCUUCGGGGGCGACCCUGCCGUUUCGACGGCGAGCGCCCCCGGAGGCCUUCAAACACUGCAUCUUUGCGUCGGAGUUUAAACAAAUUAAACAAAACGUUCAACAACGGAUCUCUUGGUUCGGGCAACGAUGAAGAACGCAGC